rfam:Phycomyces blakesleeanus NRRL 1555(-) unplaced genomic scaffold PHYBLscaffold_20, whole genome shotgun sequence.
CCGGCUUUAGCUCAGUUGGUAGAGCGGAGGACUGUAAUGAAAUUGUAAUCCUUAGGUCACUAGUUCGAAUCUGGUAAGCCGGA